CCCAACAGAGGAGACUUGGCCAGGAAUUGUAGCCAACAAAGAGUUCAGGUCUUACAACUGCCCCAAGUACCAACCAGAGCCCCUGGUUAAUCAUGCACCAAGACUCGAUGCUGAGGGACUGGACCUCCUCUCAAAGCUGCUACAGUUUGAAGGGAAGAACCGCCUCUCUGCACAGCAGGCCAUGAGGCACCCUCACUUCCACAGCCUCGGGGAGAGGGUC